rnacentral:rRNA from 1 species
UGGGGAAUCUUGCACAAUGGGGGAAACCCUGAUGCAGCGACGCCGCGUGAACGAUGAAGCCCUUCGGGGUGUAAAGUUCUUUCGACAGGAACGAUAAUGACGGUACCUGGAGAAGAAGCUGCGGCUAACUACGUGCCAGCAGCCGCGGUAAUCCGUAGGCAGCGAGCGUUGUUCGGAGUUACUGGGCGUAAAGAGUGCGUAGGCGGCGGGCCAAGUUUGGUGUGAAAUCUCCCGGCUUAACCGGGAGGGUGCGCCGAAAACUGGUUGGCUGGAGUAUGGGAGAGGAAAGCGGAAUUCCUGGUGUAGCGGUGAAAUGCGUAGAGAUUGGGAAGAACACCAGUGGCGAAGGCGGCUAUCUGGACGGUUACUGACGCUAAGACGCGAAAGCGUGGGGAGCAAACA